AGAGUUGAUCCUGGCUCAGAACGAACGCUGGCGGCGUGCUUAACACAUGCAAGUCGAGCGAGAAAUUUCCCGCUUGCGGGAAAGAGUAAAGCGGCGCACGGGUGAGUAAUGCAUGAAUAACCUGCCCUUAGGUCUGGGAUAACCCCGUGAAAAUGGGGUUAAUACCGGAUAAUAUCCAUUUAACCAUGGUUGAGUGGGUUAAAGGUGGCCUCUGCUUGCAAGCUAUCGCCUGAAGAGGGGUUCGUGUCCCAUCAGCUAGUUGGUAGGGUAAUGGCUUACCAAGGCUAAGACGGGUAGCUGGUCUGAGAGGACGACCAGCCACAUUGGCACUGAAACACGGGCCAAACUCCUACGGGAGGCAGCAGUGGGGAAUAUUGCGCAAUGGGCGAAAGCCUGACGCAGCGACGCCGCGUGAGGGAAGAAGGUCUUCGGGUCGUAAACCUCUGUCAGGUGGGAAGAACCUCUCCUUAUCAAAUAGAUUUGGAGAGUUGACGUACCACCAAAGAAGCACCGCUAACU
rnacentral:rRNA from 1 species